rnacentral:rRNA from 1 species
GCAGGCGCGAAACCUUUACACUGCACGCCAGUGCGAUAAGGGGAUCCCAAGUGCGUAGGCAUAGAGCCUACGCUUUUGUCCACCCUAGGGUGGUGGACGAAUAAGGGCUGGGCAAGACCGGUGCCAGCCGCCGCGGUAAUACCGGCAGCCCGAGUGAUGGCCGAUCUUAUUGGGCCUAAAGCGUCCGUAGCUGGCCGCACAAGUCCAUCGGGAAAUCCACCUGCUCAACAGGUGAGCGUCCGGUGGAAACUGUGUGGCUUGGGACCGGAAGGCGCGACGGGUACGUCCGGGGUAGGAGUGAAAUCCUGUAAUCCUGGACGGACCGCCGAUGGCGAAAGCACGUCGCGAAGACGGAUCCGACAGUGAGGGACGAAAGCUAGGGUCUCGAACCGGAUUAGAUACCCGGGUAGUCCUAGCCGUAAACACUGCCUGCUAGGUGUGGCACCCACUACGAGUGGGUGCUGUGCCGUAGGGAAGCCGCUAAGCAGGCCGCCUGGGAAGUACGUCCGCAAGGAUGAAACUUAAAGGAAUUGGCGGGGGAGCACAAG